GACUAUGACCAAAUCACAUACACAUGCUCACCUUCCCAUCGGAUCUCAGAAGCUAAGCAGCGUUUAGCCUGGGUCGUAGUUGGAUGGGAUACUACCUGCGGAUACCAGGUGUUGUAAUCU
rnacentral:rRNA from 1 species